rnacentral:rRNA from 1 species
AUUGAACGCUGGCGGCAGGCCUAACACAUGCAAGUCGAGCGGAUGAAGGGAGCUUGCUCCUGGAUUCAGCGGCGGACGGGUGAGUAAUGCCUAGGAAUCUGCCUGGCAGUGGGUUAUAACGUCCGGAAACGGGCGCUAAUACCGCAUGCGUCCUGCGGGAGAAAGUGGGGGAUCUUCGGACCUCACGCUAUCAGAUGAGCCUAGGUCGGGUUAGCUAGUUGGUGGGGUAAAGGCCUACCAAGGCGACGAUCCGUAACUGGUCUGAGAGGAUGAUCAGUCACACUGGAACUGAGACACGGUCCAGAGUCCUACGGGAGGCAGCAGUGGGGAAUAUUGGACAACGGGCGAAAGCAUGAUCCAGCCAUGCCGAGUGUGUGAAGAAGGUCUUCGGAUUGUAAAGCACUUUAAGUUGGGAGGAAGGGCAGUAAGUUAAUACCUUGCUGUUUUGACGUUACCAACAGAAUAAGCACCGGCUAACUUCGUG